ensembl:lncRNA
GUUCACCGUUUUUCGAUGAAUAACAGUUAGGUGAGGAUGCUUUCAGGAAGCCCAGCGAUUUCAGUGCAAUUGGAAAGACGGAAUUAAAGAAUAGUGGACUGCUGAGCUGAAUGGUUUGCAAAUGACUUGGUCCCAGGUAGCCUAUGCAGUUUUGACCAACGGCAGCUGGCUCUACCGCCCCACUGAGAGGCACUCUGAAAGAAGACCCGUGGGCGUGAAACGUUGAAACGUGGGUCUGCUCCCUACAGUCCAGACCGGGCAGAGUGGAGCCCGGGUGAAGAUUAUGAGGAUGAAGACCACGACGGCGUCCCCCCCUGCCUCGGCGGUCAUAUCAUCUCCACGGUUUAGAUGACGUUUUCAAACAGAUGCAUCGACCGCAUGAUGUUAUCGUCCUGCGGGAUGAAAUAACAGGUAGAGAAGUCCCAAGUUGUCAAAUUAAAAAUAUAUAUAAAUGAAACACAUGUGCCACACUGUUCGCUGUUGCUCACUUUCAAACGAGGCAUCUACUAAAACGACUUAGCUUUUCGUGCUUGUUUUUAAUCACAUAUCCUCACCACAGAGCUUGAUUUCACCAUCAAAGUAACGAAUUCAUUUAUGCAUGUUAAAUACUAGGCACAGUUGAAUAAAGAUUGGCUUCAACAGAACUUGGAUGUUCUAGUAAGAAUGUUUUAAAAAAAAUGUAAGCAUGAUCCUAUAAUAGUACUACAAACAGUACUUGGCAUCUUUUAGCAACUCAACCUAGCCAUCUUUGUUGUUUACGGGGAAUUACAGGUUCCUAGAAACAAGUGCUUGGCACUUGUUUCUAUGAACAUGCUUACUGUACCUAUCUUCUGACAAAUGAACUAAAUGCCCUAAAUGUAAAUUAUCCAAAACCAUACAAAAGGUUGUACAUCCUUUAAGGAUUGGACGUGUUCUUCCAUUACGGCCACUCAAAUCUCACCUCAAAACUCACAGAUCCAUUGUGGUCCGUGUCGAAGGCGUUGAACAGAAAAUGUGCAUAUGUCGAGGCGUCUGGGGAGAGAGGCAUGGACAAGAACACAACCUGGUUACACAAUUGUCUUUUCCUGAAAGGAGAAUGGGAGCUUGAUGGCUCUGUUAGAUUGUGUACUGAAGUCCAAGAGUAAAUAUGUUUUGUGAGAUACAGUGGUAACAAUAAGUUUAUGCACCCAUGCUAAAGUUGACUAAAAAGAGGAAUAAAAAAAUCAUCUUUUGGAAAUCGAUUGACAAAUGAGGAAAAAUCCAUCCUUUUAGGCCACUUACGAUACAUUAUUCAUUCAUAAAGAAAAUUGGUGGCCUUAAAGGUGGGAUUUUUCCUCAUUUGUUUAAUUAAGGUAUUCCUUUUUGGUAAACUUUAGCAUGGGUGCAUAAACGUAUUCUUUCCACUGUAUAUGAGAAACGUCAUUGUUAAAGACAUUUUUUUUGGAAAGGAAUACAUAGGUAUGUAAAAUUUGAAAAAUAAGUUAAAAAUAUACAUGGGUUGGGUGUUUCACCAUUAUGCUGUUUCCUCUAUGGUUUUACGGUAUAGGUUAAUGUGUGCCUGGUUAGGGUCAGUACUGACGUCUUUCUUUUCUUGAUGCUAACAUUAAUUCUAAACAGCAUU